AGCGAACGCUGGCGGCAGGCUUAACACAUGCAAGUCGAACGGGCAUAGCAAUAUGUCCGUGGCAGACGGGUGAGUAACGCGUGGGAACGUACCUUUUGGUUCGGAACAACACAGGGAAACUUGUGCUAAUACCGGAUAAGCCCUUACGGGGAAAGAUUUAUCGCCGAAAGAUCGGCCCGCGUCUGAUUCUCUAGUUGGUAGGGUAAUGGCCUACCAAGGCGACGAUCAGUAGCUGGUCUGAGAGGAUGAUCAGCCACAUUGGGACUGAGACACGGCCCAAACUCCUACGGGAGGCAGCAGUGAGGAAUAUUGUACAAUGGGCGAAAGCCUGAUCCAGCCAUGCCGCGUGAGUGAUGAAGGCUGUAGGGUUGUAAAGCACUUUUGUGCGGGAAGGUAAUGACGGUACCGCAAGAAUAAGCCCCGGCUAACUUCGUG
rnacentral:rRNA from 1 species